rnacentral:rRNA from 1 species
UACGUAGGGGGCAAGCGUUGUCCGGAUUUAUUGGGCGUAAAGAGCGUGUAGGCGGUUUGGUAGGUCCGCUGUGAAAACUCGAGGCUCAACCUCGAGACGCCGGUGGAAACCAUCAGACUAGAGUCCGGAAGAGGAGAGUGGAAUUCCUGGUGUAGCGGUGAAAUGCGCAGAUAUCAGGAGGAACACCGGUGGCGAAGGCGGGUCUCUGGGCCGAUACUGACGCUGAGGAGCGAAAGCAUGGGGAGCGAACAGG